ensembl:snRNA U1 U1 spliceosomal RNA
GUUCUUACCUGGCAGGGGUGAUACCAUGAUCAAGAAGGCGGUUCACCCACGGCGAGGCUCAGCCAUUGCAAAUUCCCAAAAUGUGGGAAUCUCGACUGCAUAAUUCCUGGUAGCGGGGGACUGUGUUCGCGCUCUCCCCUG